GAAGACCGCCUGCGCUCUUUCUAGUUCAAUCUUCAACCUCCAGGUGGAGACGGCUGCGGUUUUCAAUUGUUUACGGCGGUCACGGAUAUUUCAAUCUCAUCAUAUACUUGAUCGAACACACCUAAGGCAGACCAUUUCGCGGGAUAUACUGAAAGUAACAGAUGAGUGCGAAAAUAUUGUCGGUACAGUGCAGUGAAUCCCCCAAUUCAAUGUUACCAACAGCGAAACAUCCACCUCGUUUUUUCCUGAAGUUAAAUACUAUUUUGAGAGCACCAUGCAGUUCUACAAAACACAGAUGAAAAAUAUAACAAUCAUAUCUUGAAGAAUUGAAGUUUCAUGGAGGAAAAAGUAUUGUUUUUGGCAGUGAAAGGGCAAAUGCAUCAAAGUUGUCAGGUACGUGUGGAACCCUGCAAGUCCCAAAAUACUCCAAACGGAGAAAAAACAAACGACACCAACGACCACGCUACCAGGAGAUACUUUUACAGCAUCUAGGAACGCUAUAUUAUCUCUUGUGACUUUUCUUAAAACCAAAUUGAAAACUACAACUUUAGCCCCAAAAAGAGUUUAAAAAAAUGUUCGCAAUUCCUACAUAAUAGAAUUUCGCUGCCAAUGGGCUAAAUGACGUUAAAGAUUUGAAAAAUAAAUAUGAGCUACUUACGCAUUAUGAGUUUGGCCGAUUUGUUACCAGUAAAUAAUGUGACAGUGAUAGAGGGCACGUAUUUCAAAAGUGUCUCAGGCUGAAUUGUAAACGGAAGAUCCUAACCGCCACGUUUCCUGGUGCGAUUUCCAGAGGAUAAUGGUUG
rnacentral:lncRNA from 1 species